UUAACUCAAACAUCUCUAAUUCUAACUCAAACUCGAACUCUAAAUCUUCUCUACUUUGCAGCUCUUCCUGUACCUCGAAGCUCUACCUCCUUCAACAGUAAGUCUAACAAUUACUCUAACUCUUACUCCUGUUCUUCACUCUAACUCAUUCCAUGACAAAACUGACACUUGUAACUCAUAAUCUCACUUUAACUGCUGUACUUCUAAAUCUAAUUUUACCUCUUAUAAAUCUUACUCUUACUCUAACACUAACUGCUCUAAUUUUACUUCCCUAUCUAAGUCAUAUAAGUCUAUUUCAAAAUCUACCUCCGCUAAGGCUUACUCAUCUGAAUCUAAAUCUAACACUCACUUCUCCAAAUCUUAUUCUAACUCUCAAGUCUAAGUCAUUUUUCUCUAGCUCUCACCUGUAUAACUCUAAAUCCACCUUAAAGUUCUGUAUUUCUAAUUUUAAUUCCUCUAAAUCUAAGUACUCUAAGUAUCUUUACAUCUGCCUAAUGUAACUCUGACACCUCUAAGUGUAAGACCUUUUGCUUCAAUUGAAACUUUAUUUCCAAUAAAUCUAAAUGCUCUUAGUGUAACUCUACUGCAUGCAACUCUGACUCUACUAAAGGUAACUCUAACUCUAUUUCUAUCUCUCCUUCUAACUCCUCUAAAUCUGUCUUACUCCCUCUAUCUUCAGAAAUUAGGGGGUUUUCCUAUGAGCUUCCAUGUGGUUAGUUACAUGUGCCAGUUUUAUGACUGGCAUUUAAACAAAAGAUCUUUAACUUCACAUUCCAAUCUCUAGUUCAAUUUCAGUAUAACAUAAAAGUUACAACAUUAAAAUAUCUGAAUUUUUUUGUUUGCAUUUUCAGUUCCCAGUUUCCUCCUCUCUCCUUCCCAACCCCACACUAGAAAAGGUUAGCAUUUGUUAUAAAUAUUUAUGUGAAACCAUACAAUAGGUAAUUCCAUAUAUCAUUUUUUUUUCUCUGUAGAUAGAUAGCAUUUUGCUUCAGAAGUCCUUCAUAGUUAAUUUGAAAUUUCCUGUCAUUAUUUCUUAAAGCACAAUGAUAUUCCAUUAUAUUUAUAUUCCCCAAAUUAAUCACCCCUAGCCCAAUGCAUGGGCAUCCCCUCAGUUUGCAGCUCUUUGGCACCACAAAAUGAGCUGCUGUAAUUCUUUUUCUGUAUGUAGGUCUUUUACUUUCUUAAAAAAAAACCAAAAAUCUCUCUGGGGUUUGGACACUCCCAUGAAGGGCAAGCUGAGAGCUCCGGAAGCCCCCCUCCCCCGCUUUUGUUCCCGCCCAAAGUCCGCUCUGGGCUCGUGCUGGAUGGGGUCAACUAUUGGUUGCCUUGGUCAGGGAGGGCGGGGUUUCUGGUAGAGGAGUCUGGAUUGUUCUGUUCCCUCACUCCCUGAAGCAAAUUUUACGUGAGGUGUUUCUAAAUUGUCUUGGAGGGACAAUGUUGUUUCACUUUUUCCUUUUAUCGGUUAUUCCCCUCCCCAAUUCAUUCUGAGAGAGAAUUUUUAAUUUGCUUGGAGGGAAGUUUGCGGCAGCUCCAGGUAAGGUGUCUCCUGCCUUUUUCCCGCCAUUUUCUCCUCGGGUUCUGGCUUUGUUAAAUGAAGCAUUUAAAGCCGAGGGCUUUCUAAAUUAUCUUGGGGGGCAAUGUUGUUUCACUCUUUCCUUUGCUUGGGUUUUCCCCUCCCUAAUUCAUUCUCAGAGAGAAUUUUUAAAUUGCUUGGAGGGAAGUUUGCUGGGGGUGCCCAGAAGGUGUCGCCUGCCUUUUUCCCGCCAUUUUCUCCUCAGCUUCUAGCUUUGUUGAAUGAAGCAUUUAAAGCCGAGGGCUUUCUAAAUUGUCCUGGGGGGCAAUGUUGUUUCACUCUUUCCUUUGCUUGGGUUUUCCCCUCCCUAAUUCAUUCUCAGAGAGAAUUUUUAAAUUGCUUGGAGGGAAGUUUGCUGGGGGUGCCCAGAAGGUGUCGCCUGCCUUUUUCCCGCCAUUUUCUCCUCAGCUUCUAGCUUUGUUGAAUGAAGCAUUUAAAGGCGAGGGAUUUCCAAAUUGUCCUGGGGGGGCAAUGUUGUUUCACUCUUUCCUUUUAUCAGUCAUUCCCUUCCCCAAUUAAUUCUGAGAGAGAAUUUUUAAAUUGCUUGGAGGGAAGUUUGCUGGGGGUGCCCAGAAGGUGUCUCCUUUCUUUUCCCCGCCAUUUCCCCCUCAGAUUCUAGCUUUGUUGAAUGAAGCCUGAAAAGCCGAGGGCUUUCUAAAUUGUCUUGGGGGGGAAUGUUGUUUCACUCUUUCCUUUUAUCGGUCAGUCCCUUCCCCAAUUAAUUCUGAGAGAGAAUUUUUAAAUUGCUCGUAGGGAAGUUUUCCGCAGCUCCGGGUAAGGUGUCUCCUUUCUUUUUCCCGCCAUUUUCUCCUCAGGUUCUGGCUUUGUUGAAUGAAGCCUGAAAAGCCGAGGGCUCUCUAAAUUGUCUUGGGGGGGCGGCAAUGUUGUUUCACUCUUUCCUUUUAUCGGUUAUUCCCUUCCCCAAUUAAUUCUGAGAGAGAAUUUUUAAAUUUCUUGGAGGGAAGUUUGCUGCGGGUGCCCGGAAGGUGUCUCCUGCCUUUUUCCCGCCAUUUCCCCCUCGGGUUGUGGCUUUGUUGAAUGAAGCAUAAAAAGCCGAGGGCUUUCUAAAUUGUUUUGGGGGGGCGGCAAUGUUGUUUCACUCUUUCCUUUUAUCAGUUAUUCCCUUCCCCAAUUAAUUCUGAGAGAGCAUUUUUAAAUUGCUUGGAGGGAAACGUGCUGCAGGUCCUGGGAGGGUGUGGCCUCCCUUUCCCCCCUCAGGUUGUGGCUUUGUUGAAUGAACCAUUAAAAUCCUAGAAACACAAAUGCUAAAACUAGAUGUGUCUUUGCCAAUAGCCUAGAGUGAGCCCUUGUUUUCAGUGAGGAGAUUAAGAGAAAGAAAAGUGAAUUUUUUGCCUGAGGUCACACAGCUAAUUAGCAGCAGAACUGUGCUGGGCAGCUCUGGACAACUCCUCUACACCAGUCCUACAGAGUCUGCCGAAAAAUGGGUAGAAAGCAUUUUUCUUCCGAAGUUCUUCACAAUAAAUUUGAAUUUUCCUGUAACCCAGAAGAUGUUAGCCGUUAAUAUUCCACUAAUUUUGCUGUACCCUAAUAUACUCUUGGAUCAGCCCUUCACCCCGCAUUAGUUCCUUUCCAGCUCCAGCUCCAGAUCCAGAUCCAACUCCAGCUCCAGCUCCAGCUCCAACUCCAGCUCCAGCUCCAGAUCCAACUCCAGCUCCAGAUACAACUCCAGCUCCAGCUCCAGCUCCAGAUCCAACUCCAGCGCCAGCUCCAGCUCCAGAUCCAACUCCAGCUCCAGCGCCAGCUCCAGCUCCAGAUCCAACUCCAGCUCCAGCUCCGCUCCAGCUCCAGUUCUAACUCGAACACUAACUCCUGUAAAUCAAAAUCAAAAUCCUGUAACUACUCUAAAUCUAACACAAACUUUUCUACCAUCACUCUUACUGUGAAAUCUAACUCAUUCAUCUCUGACCCUAACUCCUAUAACUCUUAGUCUAACUCGGACUCUUAACUCCUCUAAUUCUAACCCUAAAUCCUUUUUCCUAACUCUUAUCUUUUCUAACUCUUAUUCUACUCUUAACUCUAACUCUUAUAACAGUUAUUCUAAUUCUAACUCCUCUAAUUCUUAUAUAUUACCCUUAACUCUACCUCAUUGAACUCUAACUAUAAGUGUAAUGAAUAUUACUCUAAAUCUUACUCUUAUUCUUCACUCUAACUCAUUCCACUCUAACACUAACUCCUAUAAUUCUUAGUCUAAUUCUCACUACUCGAAUUCUAACUCUAACUCUUAUAACUCUUAUACUUACUCUACACUAACUAGUCUAAUUUUAACUCUAAUUCCAAGUCCUAUAACUUGAAUUCACACUCUAACUCCUCUUAGUCUAACUCAUCUGAAUCUAAAUCUAACACUCCUCUGGUACUCUAACUCUUAACUCUAAGGUAUUCAUCUCUACUUGUCACUCAUAUAAUUCUUAUUCUACCUCUAACGUCUCUAUUUCUACUUUUUCGUCCUCUACAAAUAACUGCUCUAACUCUAACUUUACCUCCUCCUAAUGUAAUGUACACCUCUGACUGUAUGUCCUUUAGCUUUGAUUGUAACUUUACUUCCAAUAAAUCAAGAUGCUCUAAGUGCAACUCCACUGCAUCCAACUCAAACUCUUCUAAUGGCAACUCUAACUCUAUUUCUUUCUCUAAUUACAAUCCCUCUACAUCUUAGCCUUAUGCCUCUAUUGAUAAUGCUUUAAAUGAACCUGGUCUAAUUAUAAAUCUAACUCCUGCAUCUCUAACUCUAACUCCUCUAACUUAGUAUUAAUAUUAGAGGAGGAAGAGGAAGACUUAGAGGAGUAUGCGUUAUACUCCGAUGAGUUAGAUUUUGAAUCACUGUCAUAGAGUUAGAGGAUUGAGAGACAGAAGUGAAGAAAGAAGAAUUAGAGUUGGAGUUAGGGUCUGAGGCAAAGUAGUAUGAGUUAUAAUUAGAGCUAGCAUUAGAGAAGUUAUAGUUAGAGGAAUUAGAAUUAGACUUAGGGAAGUUAAAUCUAGGAUAUUUAUACUUAGAGUAGAUGAGAUAGUUAGUUAGUGGAGUUAGUGGAUUUGCAGUUAAGAGUUACAGGAGUUAGAUGUAGCGUUAGAGACAGAGUUGCCAUUAGAGCACUUACCUUUAGACAAGUUAGCGUAUAUUCUGUACCUGCUCUAAUUCUUACACCUCCAUCAUAUUGAACUCUAAAUCUUCCUUUUUAAACUCUAACUUUUACAAUUCUAAGUACUCCUAAGUGCUCUAACUUUAAGUUCUCUAACUCAAACUCUAAAUCUUCAAAAUCCCUCAACUCUCAAUCUAACUUUUGUAACUGAUACUCAUUCUCUGAAUUCUAACUCAUUUGACUCUAUCACUGACUCCUAAAACUGUUAUUCUAAUUGUAACUAAGUUUAGUAAUUCUCACCCUAACUCCUAUAACUCCAAGUCAAACUCUUAACCCCUCUUAGUCUAAAUCAUCUCAAUCUAAAUCUUACUCCAUUAACUCUUGGUCUAACUCUUAACUAUGUCAUUUAUCUCUGGCCCCAAUGCCUACAUUAAUUGAAACUCAAACUUCUCUAAUUCUAACUUGAAUUCUUCCCCCUCUACCUCUCAAUCUAAAUCUAACUCCUCUCACUCUAACAUUAAGGAGUCCUACAGUAACUCUGCUAACUUCUACAGAAUCUCCUCUAACUUAACUUGGAAUUUUAAUUCCACUAAAUCUGUAUCCUCUAACUCUAAUGCAUCUAACCCGGAAUCUAACUGUUUUAACUCCAACUCUAUCUCCAUUUCUAGUUCUUCCUCUAAUUGUUCUAACUGUAAUUCUGAACGCUCUAACUCCUCCAACUUUAAUUCUCACUCUAAAUUAUCUAACUCAAACUCUGAGUCAUCUACUUUUUGCAACUUUUAGGAUAACUCAUAACUCAACCUCAUUCUACUCUCAGUCUUAUUAUUCCUCGAACUCUUACUCGUAUUCUUCACUCUUAACUCAUUCCAGGCUAACACGAACUUCUGUAACUAUUCUUCUAACUCUAAAAGGUCUAAAUCUAACACUAACGUUCAAUCUUAUAACUCUUAAUCUUACUCUAACAUUAACUGCUCUAAUUGUAACUACACUUCAGAGUCCUAUAUCUCUAUUUCAAACUCUAGCUCCUCUUAGUCUAAAUCAUCUGAAUCUAAAUCUAACUCCCACUCCUGCAACUCUUUUUCUAACCCUAAAGUCUAAGUAAUUCUUCUCUAGCUCUCACAGCCAUAACUCUAAUUGUACCUCAAACUUCUCUCUUUUUAAUUUUAACUGCUCUAAAUCAAACUGCUCUAACUCUCAUGUUACCUAUUCCUAAUGGCACUGUGACACCUCUAACUGUACCUUCUUUAGCUUUACUUGUAAGUUUACUUCCAAUAAAUCUAAAUGCUCUCAGUGUAACGAUACUGGAUCUUAAUCUAACUCUUGUAAUGGUAACUUUAACUCUAUUUCUUUCUCUAAUUCUAAAUCUUGUAAAUCUAAGUCUUACUCCUCUAUAGAUACCUGCUUUAAGUCAACCAGCUCUAACUCUAAAGGUAACUCCUGCACCUCUAACUCUAACUCCUCUAACUUAGUAUUAAUGUUAGAAGAGGAAGAGUUAGACUUAGAGCAGUAUGGGUUAUACUCUGAUGAGUUAGAUUUUGAAUGACAGUCGUAGAGGUAGAGGAUUUAGAAAUAAAAAUUAAAGAAGUUAGAGAGUUGGAGUUAGGGUCUGAGCUAAAGUAGUGUGAGUUAUGAUUAUUCUUAGCUUUAGAGAAGGUAUUGUUAGAGGAAGUAGAGUUCAACUUAGAGGAGUUAAAUCACAGGUGUUUAUAGUUAGAGUAGAUGAGUGAGAAUUAGUGAGCCCAGUUAGUGGAUUUACAGUGGAGUUACAGGAGUUAGAUGUAGCUUUAGAGAUAGAGUUGGCAUUAGAGCAGUUACCUUUAGACAACUGAGAGUAUAUUCUGUAAGUGCUCUCAGUCUGACUCCUGUAUUUCCUCUAACUAGAAUUCUUCCUUCUUUCACUCUAACUUUCCUGUUCCAUAAUGUAACCCUAACUGCUCUACCUUUCAGUAUAACUCCUCUAACUCAAAAUCUAAAUUCUCUAAUUCCUUGAAGGCUAAAUCAAAUUUUUCUGUUUCUCUUCCUCUUCUCUCAAACUCAUUGGAAUCUAUCAUUACCUCCUUUAACUCUUAUGCUAACUGUAACCUUGAGUGUAGUAAUUUUCACCCUAACACAUACAACUCUAAGUCAAAUUCCAACCCCUCUUAGUCUAAUCAUCCCAAUCUACAUCCUACUCCAUGAAUUCUUGCUCUAACUCUGAACCAUGUCAUUUGUCUCUAGCUCCAACAUCUAAACUCAUUGUAACUCAAACUUCUCUAAUUCUAACUCUAACUCAAACUCUAAAUUCUCUAUCCUUUGCAACUCUUACUCUGCCUCGCAGCUCUAUCUCAUUCUACUCUGUCUUAUUUCUACUCUAAAUCUUACUGGAAUUCUUCACUCUAACUUAUUCCAUGACAACACUAACCCUGAUAACUCUUAAUCUCACUCUGAUCUAAUUCUAAGUCUAAUUUUAACUGUUAUAACUUUUAUUCUUACUCUAACACUAACUGGUCUAAUUUUAACUCUCUUUCUUAGUCAUAUAAAUCCAUUUCAAAAUCUACCUGCCCUAAGGCUAACUCAUCUGAAUCUAAACCUAAGAGUCACUUCUCCAAAUCUUAAUCUAAUUCUUAAGUUGAAGUCAUUUUUUUCUCGCUCUCACUUGUAUAAGUCUUAGUCCAACUUAAACUUUUGUAUUUGUAACUUUAAUUCCUCUAAAUCUUACUGCUCUAACUCUAUCUUUACAUCCCCCUAAUGUAACUCUGAUACCUCUAAGUGUGAGACCUUACCUUUAAUUGUAACUUUAUUUCGAGUAAAUCAAAAUGCUCUUAGUGUAAUUCUACUGCAUCCAGCUCUUACUCUUCUAAUGGUAACUAACUCUAUUUCUUUCUCUAAUUGUAAAUCUUGUAAAUCUAAGUCUUACUCCUCUAUUGAUAACUGCUUUAAGUCAACCAGCUCUAACUCUAAAGCUAACUCCUGCAUCUCUAACUCUAACUCCUCUAACUUAAUAUUAAUGUUAGAAGAGGAAGAGUUAGACUUAGGGCGGUAUGGGUUAUACUCUGAUGAGUUAGAUUUUGACUGACAGUCAUAGAGGUAGUUGAUGUAGAGAUAAAAAUUAAAGAAGUAAGAGAUUUGGAGUUAGGGUCUGAGGUAAAGUAGUGUGAGUUAUGAUUUUUCUUAGCUUUAGAGAAGGUAUUGUUAGAGGAAGUAUUGUUCAACUUAGAGGAGUUAAAUCUCAGGUGUUUAUAGUUAGAGUAGAUGAGUGAGAAUUAGUUAGCCCAGUUAGUGGAUUUACAGUUGAGUUACAGGAGUUAGAUGUAGCAUGAGAGAUAGAGUUGGCAUUAGAGCAGUUACCUUUCGACAACUGAGAGUAUAUUCUGUAAGUGCUCUCAGUCUGACUCCUCUAUUUCCUCUAACACGAAUUCUUCCUUCUUUCACUCUAACUUUCCUGUUCCAUAAUGUAACCCUAACUGCUCUACCAUUCAGUAUAACUCUUCUAACUCAGAAUCUAAAUCCUCUAAUUCCUUUAAGUCUAAAUCAAAAUUUUCUGUUUCUCUUCUUCUUAACUCUAACUCCUUCGAGUCUAUCCCUCCCUCCUGCAACUCUUAUUCGAACUGUACCCUUGAGUGUAGUAAUUCUCACCCUAACUCAUAGAACUCUAAGUCAAACUCUAACCCUCCUUAGUCUAAAUCAUCCCAAUCUAAAUCUUACUCCAUUAAUGCUUGCUCUAACUCUUAUCCAUGAUAUUUAUCUCUAGCUCCAACAUCUACACUUAUUGUAACUCAAACUUCUCUAAUUCUAAUUCCACCUCAAACUCUCAAUCCUCUACCCUUUGCAACUCUUACUCUACCUCGAAGCUCUUCCUCAUUCAACUCUAAGUCUAAUAAUUUCUCUCUCACUCCUAUUCUUCACUCCAACUUAUUCCAUGACAAAACUAAUACUUGUAAAUCUUAAUCUCACUCUAAGUGCUUUAAAUCUAAUUUUUAUUAUAACUCUUAUAACUUUUAGUCUUACUCUAACACUAACUGCUCCAAUUUCCACUCUCUUCCUUAGUCAUAUAAAUCUAUUUGAAAAUCUACCUGCCCCAAGCCUAACUCUUCUGAAUCUAAAUGUAACACUCACAUCUCCAAAUCUUAAUCUAAUUUUUAUUUCUAAGUUAUUUUUCUCUAGAUCUCACUUGUAUAAGUCUUAGUCCAACUUGAACUUCUGUAUUUCUAACUUUAAUUCCUCUAAAUCUUACUGCUCUAACUCUAUGUUUACAUUCCCUAAUGUAACUCUGAUACCUCUAAGUGUGAGACCUUACCUUUAAUUGUAACUUUAUUUCGAGUAAAUCGAAAUGCUCUUAGUGUAAUUCUACUGCAUCCAGCUCUUACUCUUCUAAUGGCAACAAACUCUAUUUCUUUCUCUAAUUGUAAAUCUUGUAAACCUAAGUCUUACUCCUCUAUUGAUAACUGCUUUAAGUCAACCAGCUCUAACUCUAAAGCUAACUCCUGCAACUCUAACUCUAACUCCUCUAACUUAGUAUUAAUGUUAGAAGAGGAAGAAUUAGAGUUAGGUCAGUAUGGGUUACACUCUGAUGAGUUGGAUUUUGACUGACAGUCGUAGAGGUAGAGGAUUUAGAGAUAAAAAUUAAAGAAGUAAGAGAGUUGGAGUUAGGGUCUGAGCUAAAGUAGUGUGAGUUAUGAUUAUUCUUAGCUUUAGGGAAGGUAUUGUUAGAGGAAGUAGAGUUCAACUUAGAGGAGUUAAAUCUCAGGUGUUUAUAGUUAGAGUAGAUGAGUGAGAAUUAGUUAGCCCAGUUAGUGGAUUUACAGUUGAGUUACAGGAGUUAGAUGUAGCAUGAGAGAUAGAGUUGGCAUUAGAGCAGUUACCUUUAGACAACUGAGAGUAUAUUCUGUAAGUGCUCUCAGUCUGACUCCUCUAUUUCCUCUAACACGAAUUCUUCCUUCUUUCACUCUAACUUUUAAUGUUCCAUAAUGUAACCCUAACU